rnacentral:lncRNA from 1 species
UACAGAAGUGCUGUUUACUCAUUGGAGGAACAGUACCUUGGCUUGGCUCUUGACGUGGACAGAAUUAAAAAGGACCAAGAAGAGGAAGAAGACCAAGGCCCACCAUGCCCCAGGCUCAGCAGGGAGCUGCUGGAGGUAGUAGAGCCUGAAGUCUUGCAGGACUCACUGGAUAGAUGUUAUUCAACUCCUUCCAGUUGUCUUGAACAGCCUGACUCCUGCCAGCCCUACAGAAGUUCCUUUUAUGCAUUGGAGGAAAAACAUGUUGGCUUUUCUCUUGACGUGGGAGAAAUUGAAAAGAAGGGGAAGGGGAAGAAAAGAAGGGGAAGAAGAUCAAAGAAGAAAAGAAGAAGGGGAAGAAAAGAAGGGGAAGAAGAUCAAAACCCACCAUGCCCCAGGCUCAGCAGGGAGCUGCUGGCUGAGAAAGAGCCUGAAGUCUUGCAGGACUCACUGGAUAGAUGUUAUUCGACUCCUUCAGGUUAUCUUGAACUGCCUGACUUAGGCCAGCCCUACAGAAGUGCUGUUUACUCAUUGGAGGAACAGUACCUUGGCUUGGCUCUUG